AUUUUUUACUUUGUUGAGGUGAUAAAACCAUUUCAUCAGUUACAAACCAUUGUGCAAUCAAAUUUACUGAUUAAUGUGAGGUAAACCCCAAAAUUAUGAUCCAUAUUUAUGUGGAUGUUGAUAAGUUUUUAUCGAAGAUGGACUUCAUCGAAAUGAUAUGCGCACAUUUGAAAUGGCCGUGGUCAUUAUCAUUUUUGUAAUACUUUAGGAUGUAUACAAGUUACACUAGUACACUUAUUCGACUUAUAUAUAAUGGUUACAAGUACUACGUGUAAACAAUUACUAUUCGUUUAGCAGACGUUUAAAAGGUAAUA
rnacentral:misc_RNA from 1 species